rnacentral:rRNA from 1 species
AGGCUGCAACUCGCCUGCAUGAAGCUGGAAUUGCUAGUAAUCGCGGAUCAGCAUGCCGCGGUGAAUACGUUCCCGGGCCUUGUACACACCGCCCGUCACACCAUGAGAGUCGGGAACACCCGAAGUCCGUAGUCUAACCGCAAGGAGGGCGCGGCCGAAGGUGGGUCCGGUAAUUGGGGUGAAGUCGUAACAAGGUAUC